rnacentral:rRNA from 1 species
CACGGGUGAGUAACACGUGGGAACGUACCCUUCACUGCGGAACAACGUCGGGAAACUGACGCUAAUACCGCAUAAUGUCUCCCGGACCAAAGAUUUAUCGGUGAGGGAUCGGCCCGCGUUAGAUUAGCUAGUUGGUGAGGUAAUGGCUCACCAAGGCUACGAUCUAUAGCUGGUCUGAGAGGAUGAUCAGCCACACUGGGACUGAGACACGGCCCAGACUCCUAC